CACCCGUAGGCUUCGUCCAAUCAGCGACGCCGCAGCAGCAGCCAUGUUGUAAGGAGUCCUAACUUUUCGCCGGGACUCCUUGCGGAAGGAGACACCUGAGCUCACCUGACUGUUCCGGACGCGCGGAGGUUUAAAAAAAUAUAUUAAUAAAUAUUUAAAACCAUCACGGAUCCCUCUGCGUGCUUUACGUCACAAUGAGCGCUUUCCGGCUGAUUUCCGCGCUCCAGGCCGGGUUUCUGCGGACUUCCAGAAGUCCACAUCUGCUCCAGCCCGUUUCCGCCUGUGCGGUUCAGUGGCGCCCUCAGUCCUCAGAGGCCGUCCCUGCAGCCCGGCUGCCCUGCAGAGUGAAGUUAUCUGCGGGGAAACGCUACGCCUGGUGUGCGUGUGGUUACAGUAAAAAACAGCCGUUUUGCGAUGGAGCUCACAUGAAGCAGGCGCCGAGCAUCUCCCCUCUGCGCUUCACCCCCGACAAGGACCGGACCGUCUUUCUCUGCGCCUGUAAGCAAACCAAAAAUGCACCGUACUGCGACGGCUCACACCUAAAGGUCAUCUACAGGGACGUGGUGAAGGCGGUGAAAGGUCUGUUCAAGUGAGCGGCGUUGGCAUCGGCGGACCCGCCAAGGGGAAAUGACAUUAUCUUUGCUGUUGUAUUAAAUGAAAAUGCAGCUAAAAUAAAAAAAAGUGGUGACUGUUUGUUUUAUAUGGAUCCGGCGGUGCUUUGAAUCAAGAAGAAUCAGCGAAAAAAAGUAAUUUUAAACUAAAUUUUUGUAUAAAAGUAAACAUCAACACUUAUUUGUAUUGUCUCUACCAACAAGUCCUCAUAUGAUGUUGCUGUAACCAUCAGAUGAUUUCCACAGAGUGUCAUAAAGCUGCUACAUUAUAAUAUACGCACACCAAUAUAAAUGGAUAAUACUGUAAUAUUCUACUUUGACUGUAGAUAUUAAAUGUUUUAUGUAAUCCUAUUUUUGAAGAGUUUAUUUACGUUCAAUAAUUUCUGAGUGCCUUCAAAUUAAAGAAAAACAAGAAAAGUCAAAAAGGCAUCUUGGUUAUUUAUGUUUUAGGGCUUUCCUCUUUUUCGUUUUAUUUUAUGGCAAUAAACACCAAGCUCAUCGUCUUUGGAUGUGAAUUCACAUACAUCACUAAAAUAGAGCAAUAAAAUAAAUGUGACGUUUAUGAAAUGCAGUGUUAAGUCUUGUGGACAAAGAAAACAAAAAUAAGUUGGUUUCUCUUGAAUCAAAUCCAACUUUAUUUAUAUUAUACUUGUACUUUUGUCUGAAUGUCUUCUGCAUCUCAGUUAUAUAAAAAAAACAAAUACUGCCACCUGCUGGUGUGUUUUAGAAAGACAACUGGAUGCAAAGCUAAGAUGUUUGCAGAUGACACUGAUUUGUUGUGAAAGGGAUCAGGUGGAGGAACAAAAAAUGUGUUUAGGAGAUAAUUUUUUGUGGAAAAAUGAAGUUACAGCUAGCAGAGGUGAGUCUGUGGUGAGUAAUCUAAAAUCGGAUUUUUUUUUUUAGUAUACAGGAAGUCAGUAAAAAGAUAAAACUUUAGCGAUUAUCUCUCUUUUGGAGUGCUGGUUAAAAACCAGACUGCAGAAUUUGAUCUCAUUUGCAGCCAUCGGGGGGACAGUUUAUUGAGAAACAUAAACGUUCACCUACAAUAAAGAUUUUGCAAUAUUUUGCUUUGAUGAAAUAACAGGAACUCCGACUAAGCUACAUUAAUAAUGUUUUGUUUUUAGGUGGACAAUGAUAUGAAAAUCUACAGUAACACACCUAAAGCAAUCUUAAUACAAAUCAAAUUAAAUAUCAGAAAACUCCCCCACCCUCCUGAAUUAUUAUCAAUACUUUGAUUUCACUUCCUAAAUCAGUUGAACUCUAUCUGAUUGGUUUAGUUCUACCACGUGACCAUCACAUUCUUCCAAUUAUCGCUCACGUCUCCGAUGAAAAUAUUUUCUUUUUCUCUUCGAGUUUGUAAUUUAUUUAUUUUUGGAGUUUUUAAAUGUUUGUUCAUCUUUGUUACAUUUUUAAAAAAUCCAUCUUUUUUUUUUUUUUUUUUACCCCGUAAGGCAAGUUCAGACUUCACAGCGCACGCGCGAUAGGCUGCAGAUUUAUGUCUAUGACAUAUGUGUACAAAUUUAACAUAAACAUGAACACGCUCGUGACCCACUUGGCGAGGGUCACCCUGAAUCGAGCGCGAGGAGCUCCGGUGUUCAAGCCUUCCUUCUGCUCUCAGGUCAUUCUGUCCACUCUCCCUCCUCAACCUGUCAUCCCGUCUAAGAAGCCCUUCAAGGUGGAACUUUCCGCAGGAAAACGUUACUCGUGGUGCAGCUGUGGACUCAGCGAGAAGCAG